rnacentral:lncRNA from 1 species
UUUAAAUCCCAUUAAUGCUUAUAACAUUAUGUGUUACUGUAUUAGUAAUAAAUGAGGUAAAUGCUACUGGCAUAACGUUUAUAUAAUAAUUACGUAAUUAAACCCAAAAUUCAUGCUUCUAGCAUAAUGAAUUAUAAUGGAAAUUAUUCAAAUUGACGUAACUGAAUAUUAAAUUCAUAACGUUUGUAUCAUAAUGUGCACAAUAAUUUGGCCCAUAAUACUUGUAGCAUAAUGUGGGUUGUAAAUUGGUAAAUGCUUCUGGCAUUACAUGUCCUUAAAUGCUAUAUUGAAUUUGACACAUCAAAUUUGUAACCGACAAAAUAUACAUAUUAAGCUACAAUUAAGUAACAUAAUUAGCACUGAAAUGUCGUUAUACCAUUGACGUAACAUUUACUAACGGAUUUUAUUUAAACCCCAUUAAGAGCAAUAUUAAUUCCUUCUUAUCACUAAAUGCUUCAGGCAUAAUGAAUAUGGAAUAUAUGUAACGUCUGCUAUCAUUGACCAAAUUAAUAGUAAAACCUUAAUGGUUACAAGCACUACUUCCGGAAUGCAUGCAUGAUCUUGAGUUUGGAUAUCAUGAAAAACUAUACUUUUUGCUGAUCCAUGUGCGUCCUUGUCUGCACUACUAGGCAGUUGCGAAGGUUGAUUUCGGUGGCUACUGGCCUCCGUGGUGAUUUCCUUUUUUGGUGCUAUAUUUUCCUUUUCCAAUUCUCAUAACAUAAGAAAACUUAUAUGACAUUUAAUGUUCAUAUGUAUUAACCAAAUAAACUAAUACAAUAUAUUUGGUGCUCAUGCAUCGUAGACGGAUUUUUCAAUAUGCAAUCAAAGUUAAUAAGCAUGAAAUCAUAAAAUCGAAACAUAAACAACAUAUGGUUCAUGCUUCAGGAUGGUUUUUCAUGUAAUCAAGGUUUUAAAAGAAACAUGAAUUAUAAUAGAGUUUAGAAAACUUUACUCGAUGCAAAGCGAAUCAAUGAGUGUUCAUCUUAUGUGUCAGAACCGAGAAUAUUGGUGGACUAAACUUCUAAUCAAAUCCGAGAGCUUGUUUGUGAUUGAAAUUUUGAACCAUGUUGAAUGAUUCUUCCAUCGAUUGAUCAACGGUCUCUCUUCCAUGCUGCAUAAAAACUACCUUAGCGUUAGAACUAUUCGUGCUGAUAACGUGUU